rnacentral:rRNA from 1 species
UACGUAGGCAGCGAGCGUUGUUCGGAGUUACUGGGCGUAAAGGGUGUGUAGGCGGUUGUUUAAGUUUGGUGUGAAAUCUCCCGGCUCAACUGGGAGGGUGCGCCGAAUACUGAAUGACUUGGAGUGCGGGAGAGGAGAGUGGAAUUCCUGGUGUAGCGGUGAAAUGCGUAGAUAUCAGGAGGAACACCGGUGGUGUAGACGGCUCUCUGGACCGUAACUGACGCUGAGGAGCGAAAGCAUGGGGAGCGAACAGG